UAAUACGGAGGAUCCAAGCGUUAUCCGGAUUUAUUGGGUUUAAAGGGUGCGUAGGUGGCCUAUUAAGUCAGGGGUGAAAGACGGUAGCUUAACUAUCGCAGUGCCUUUGAUACUGAUGGGCUUGAAUACACUUGAGGUAGGCGGAAUGUGACAAGUAGCGGUGAAAUGCAUAGAUAUGUCACAGAACACCAAUUGCGAAGGCAGCUUACUAAAGUGUUAUUGACACUGAGGCACGAAAGCGUGGGGAUCAAACAGGAUUAGAUACCCUGGUAGUCCACGCCCUAAACGAUGAAUACUCGAUGUUGGCGAUAUACGGUCAGCGUCUAAGCGAAAGCGUUAAGUAUUCCACCUGGGGAGUACGCCCGCAAGGGUGAAACUCAAAUGAAUUGACGG
rnacentral:rRNA from 1 species